GGAUGGGAAAGAUUCUCCUGCUUCUUGCUCUGUGAUUCCUUCACUUACCUGGAUAUACUGAUUUAUUACAAUUGCUGGAAGAGAACCAGAAGAGACCACAUUACCACCUUCGAAACAGAUAAGUGUUCAGCAAGAAUUUCUAUAUCAGAAGCUAUACUGUGGUGCAUGGUUGUUUAUACAGUGUUCCUUUGGCAAGGGCCAAGUCAUGUCCGACUCUUUGCAACCUGAUGGACUGCAGCCUGCCAGGCUCCUCUAUCCACAGAAUUCUCCAGGCAGAUUAUUUACCAUCUGAACCACAGGAGAAGCCCAUCUCUCACAUGUGUCCUAUAUUAAGAAAUCUACUUCUUGCCUAUUACUUUGCCUCUUGCUGAAUUCCUUCUGUACUGAGACACAAAGAACCUGAACCUCAGUAAGUCCAGACACCGGGUGAGUGAUUAUAGUCAAGACUGUAGAUUCAGGUCCCAAUCACAAUUUUGGCCAGGUUCAAGUCCCAAUCUGAAGUGCAUGGUUUCAAUCUCCAGAACCUAUGAAUAUACUAUCUUACUUGGCAAGCAGAAUUUUGCAGGCCAAGGAUUAAGGAUCUUGAGAAGGAAAGAUUAUCCUCACCAUCCAUGUAAGGCCCCAUUGUAAUCACAAGAGUCAUAAGAGGAAAGCAAGAGGGUCAAAGUCAAAACAAAAAGAAGAGCAUGUGGUCAAGGAAGCAAGAGAGAGAGAAGAGUCAAAGGGAGAAGAUGCCAUGUUGCUGGCUUGGAAGAUGGAGCAAAGAGCCACCAGCCAGGGAAGGAACUAAGGCCCCCAGCCAGGUGGAAGAUGGCAACUUCAGACUGAGCAAAAGAUUCCUGGAGCACUGCUCACCACCAACUCAUCAGAAGAAAGUCACACACUCUGAAGCCUUCACUCCACAUUUUGUCUACAAAAACUCUUCCCCUGAAAACUAUCAGGGAGUUUGGGGCUUUUGAGCAUGAACUACCUGUUCUCUUUGCUUGGCCUAGCAAUGAACCUUUCUCUGCUCCAAACUCUGACAGUUUGGCUGGCCUCACUGUGUGUCAGGCACACAAACUUAUGUUCAGUAAUAUAAGGAACAGUUUCUUGCUUGAAAACUUUAGAAGAAAUUCAGCCUUUCUAACACCUAGAUUUUAGACUUCUGACCUCCAGAAUUGUAAGAAAAUAAAUUUGUAUUGUUUUAAGCCACUAGAUCAGCCCUGGGUGUUCAUUGGAAGGAAUGAUGCUAAAGCUGAAACUCCAGUACUUUGGCCACCUCACGCAAAGAGUUGACUCAUUGGAAAAGACUCUGAUGCUGGGAGGGAUUGGGGGCAGGAAGAGAAGGGGACGACAGAGGAUGAGAUGGCUGGAUGGCAUCACUGACUCGAUGGACACGAGUCUGAGUGAAUUCCGGGAGUUGGUGAUGGACAGGGAGGCCUGGCAUGCUGCGAUUUGUGGAGUCGCAAAGAGUCGGACACGAAUGAGCGACUGAACUGAACUGAACUGAAGCCACUAUAAGCCAUUAAAUUCAUGGUAAUUUGUUACAACAGCAAUAGGAAUCUAAUAAAGUAUGCACACAGAGUUUCAUUGUGCUUUUUCCUCCUCUUAUGAUCUUUUCUUUUUAUUUAUUUAUUUGGCUGCACCAGGUCUUAGUGUGGCACACAGGAUCAUCUGUCUUCAUUGCAGCAUACAAAAUCUUUAGUUGCAUCAUGUAGGCCCUUUUAGUUGCAGCAUGCAAACUUAGUUGCAGCACAUGGGAUCUAGUUACCUGACCAAGGGUUGAAUCUGCCCGCCCCCCAUUGGGCCCAUGGAGUCUUAGUCACUGGACCACAAGGGGAGGACCUGAAAUUUUCUUUAAUAAAAAGUUUUUUUAAAAAAGAAAAACCAGCAUUGAAAAAGUAACACAUCAUUUGAUAUAUAGUUGGACAAGUCCUCUUUUGCUUUUUAAAAUUAUUUUUUGUUGUUCUUUCACAUUUUUACCUCUCAAACACAUUUUAAUUGGCUUGUCAAGUUUCUAUAAAAAUUAGGUAUUUUAUUACAAUUUUAUUGAAUAUAGAAAUUAACUUGUGGAAAAUCACAUAAAAAAAUAGAUGUAACAGGAUGUCCCUGCUAGUACAAGCUGAUCCUUAUAUAUUCCAUGCCAUCAUUGCUUCUAAGUUGCAAGAGUUAAGGGAGGUCUGGAGUUCUCUAACUGCCCCACCUACAACUAAGUGGACAAGUUCUAUUCAGAGAGAAGAGAGAGAAAAAUAAAAUAGUACUUAGCUUCCUUUCAAGACUCACUUUCCAGUAU
ensembl:lncRNA